AAUAACGAAUAGGUAUUUUACUUUGGACCCAGAUCCGAACCAAACUUGUAUUUUCAAGUCAAUUUUGGUUUGGUUUCUCGGGUGCGGAUAAUAUGGCAGAUCUAAAAAUAGUUACAUAAAAGUGUACAUACAACAAUCUUAAAUAAAAUAAUUCAUAAAUUAUAUAGUGUUAAAUACAUUCGCUUUUCAAUAUAAUAAGAUUUUGUAACAUAAAUUUAUAACAAUUUCAAAAUACUUAUUCAUAUUCAACUUUGUUUAUAUUCAAAAAAUCCGCGCUUCCGAAACACGGGUUAAAAUAUAGCAAGUGUUAAUUUAAUAAUCCAAUUUUCCUAAUUUGAUUAUUAUUAUUAUUGAAAAAAAUUUGGUCUAAAAUCUACUUCUCAUAAAUAAAACUAUUAAACAAAAGAACAUAAUUUAAUAUAUCGAUUACCGGUAUGAAUCUUACUUUUAAUAUUAAUUUAAAAUUUAUAUCUAAUUUAAUAAUUUCACAUUUGUAUAAAAAUAGAUAUUAAAAUUGUUAGGUAUAUAUAUGACCAUCAACUAGUUCAAAUUAUUACAUAAAGAAAUUUUAGUACUUUACAAUAUUGAACAUAUAAGGAAAUUUGUCUGUUAAUUUGAGACAUUCUCUAUUUCACUAUCAUUUUCUAACGAUUGAGAUUUAUCAAGAUCCGAGAGAUUAAUCAUCAUUCUGUUAUUUAGAACUUUUGUCAUAUGCUAUGUUUGUAAAAUGGGUCAAUUUUAUUUACUAGAUCUUUUUUUGUAAAUAAAAGUUAAUAAUUUCUGAUUGUUUUUCAGAAAACAUAUAACUAAUAUGUGUGUGCCCAAAUAUAUAGCUGAUAUGUUUAAUUAGUCUUUUCUUAACCAAACUCUAAACUUGUAUAUUGAAAUGAAUUAUCCUGAUAGCUUGGUUGAUAAGAGCCAAUCCCUCUCUCUCUUGAUAAUUUCUCCGACCUCUCUCUAAGAGUCACAAAAACAAAGUUUCGUUUCCAGUGGCCGGUGGCUCUCUUGCUGCCGGUCACUAAAUCUUUUUGUUUUUUGUCUGUAAACUAUGUUCGAUCGUCAGAUCGAUAGUCUGUCUUCCGAUUAGCGGAUCUAGGUUUUCCAGUUAGCGGAUCUUUGAAUUCCGAUUAGCGGAUUUCGCCCCUUCCGUCACCAAAUCUCUAUCCCAUGCGACUGAGUUGGAGCUCUCCUCUUUUCCGAUCACCCUCGAUCUCCUUUUCUAUGACUACAGAGAGAUUCAGUAAAAUUGGCAUCUUUUAUGGAGAUGGUCCAAUAUAGGGUCUGCUCAAAGUUGUUCAAGUCUUCCCAGAAUUUACAAUCGGUGUUCGCAAGGAUCUUUGUCUCAAGAACAUGGCUAAUGGCGGAAGAGAUAAACAUGAGUACAGUUAAUGGUGAAUAAAGUUGGGAAAAGAAGAUUGAAGCACUGUAUUGGCUGGGUAAUCUCGCCGGCGAAGAUGGCUGAAGUCACCGGAGCUAGCUUUUCAAGAUUGCAUGUCUUUUUCUCAACACGUGUUUAAACUUUUGUUCUUGUCCAUACACGUGGACUUUGGGGUUUGUACAGUUGUAACGCGUGUAUGUUUAAAAGUUGUACUCUGAUUAUCGUGGGCUAUAAUGAAAUGUUAAAGUUGACAA